CUUGUUGGUGAGGUAAUGGCCCACCAAGGCGACGACGGGUAGCCGGCCUGAGAGGGCGACCGGCCACACUGGGACUGAGAUACGGCCCAGACUCCUACGGGAGGCAGCAGUGGGGAAUAUUGCACAAUGGGCGAAAGCCUGAUGCAGCGACGCCGCGUGGGGGAUGAAGGCCUUCGGGUUGUAAACCCCUUUCAGCAGGGAAGAAGCGAAAGUGACGGUACCUGCAGAAGAAGCGCCGGCUAACUACGUGCCAGCAGCCGCGGUAAUACGUAGGGCGCAAGCGUUGUCCGGAAUUAUUGGGCGUAAAGAGCUCGUAGGCGGUUUGUCGCGUCUGCUGUGAAAACUCGAGGCUCAACCUCGGGCUUGCAGUGGGUACGGGCAGACUAGAGUGCGGUAGGGGAGACUGGAAUUCCUGGUGUAGCGGUGGAAUGCGCAGAUAUCAGGAGGAACACCGAUGGCGAAGGCAGGUCUCUGGGCCGCAACUGACGCUGAGGAGCGAAAGCAUGGGGAUCGAACAGGAUUAGAUACCCUGGUAGUCCAUGCCGUAAACGUUGGGCACUAGGUGUGGGGCUCAUUCCACGAGUUCCGUACCGCAGCUAACGCAUUAAGUGCCCCGCCUGGGGAGUACGGCCGCAAGGCUAAAACUCAAAGGAAUUGACG
rnacentral:rRNA from 1 species